AACGAACGCUGGCGGCAUGCCUAACACAUGCAAGUCGAACGAGCCCUUCGGGGUUAGUGGCGCACGGGUGGGUAACGCGUGGGAAUCUGCCCUUGGGUUCGGAAUAACAGUGAGAAAUUACUGCUAAUACCGGAUGAUGUCUUCGGACCAAAGAUUUAUCGCCCAAGGAUGGGGCCGCGUAGGAUUAGCUAGUUGGUGGGGUAAUGGCCUACCAAGGCUACGAUCCUUAGCUGGUCUGAGAGGAUGACCAGCCACCCUGGGACUGGGACACGGCCCAGACUCCUACGGGAGGAAGCAAUGGGGAAUAUUGGACGAUGGGCGAAAGCCUGAUCCAGCAAUGCCGCGUGAGUGAUGAAGGCCUUAGGGUUGUAAAGCUCUUUUACCCGGGAUGAUAAUGACGGUACCGGGAGAAUAAGCUCCGGCUAACUCCGUG
rnacentral:rRNA from 1 species